ACUCCUACGGGAGGCAGCAGUGGGGAAUUUUGGACAAUGGGGGCAACCCUGAUCCAGCCAUGCCGCGUGAGUGAAGAAGGCCUUCGGGUUGUAAAGCUCUUUCGGACGGAACGAAAUGGUUACGGUGAAUAUCCGUGACUGAUGACGGUACCGUAAUAAGAAGCACCGGCUAACUACGUGCCAGCAGCCGCGGUAAUACGUAGGGUGCGAGCGUUAAUCGGAAUUACUGGGCGUAAAGCGUGCGCAGGCGGUUCGCCAAGUCAGGUGUGAAAUCCCCGGGCUUAACCUGGGAAUUGCGCUUGAAACUAGCGGGCUUGAGUGUGGCAGAGGGGGGUGGAAUUCCACGUGUAGCAGUGAAAUGCGUAGAGAUGUGGAGGAACACCGAUGGCGAAGGCAGCCCCCUGGGUCAACACUGACGCUCAUGCACGAAAGCGUGGGGAGCAAACAGGAUUAGAUACCCUGGUAGUCCACGCCUUAAACUAUGAUAACUCGAUGUUGGCGAUACACUGCCAGCGUCCAAGCGAAAGCGUUAAGUUAACCGCCUGGGGAGUACGGUCGCAAGAUUAAAACUCAAAGGAAUUGACGG
rnacentral:rRNA from 1 species